rnacentral:lncRNA from 11 species
UUCCCUCUUGCUCCGGCUGCCUUCAGGCGUCCCAUUAACCGGGGUCGGAAAUAAGCCCUGAAAGAGAGAGAGAAGGAAAGGCUCGCCGCUCCCACCAGCCAAGGAUUAUUCUUCUUUCCAUCCUCUGUUUUUUGGGGAUUCGUGGGCUAUCUUCCAUCUCCACUCCUCCCUUGGAUUCCUCACCCUGACACGGGUCUGGAGACCCUUCCCACGUUCACCAGGGACACGGAGGAGCCGCCAAGGAGGUUCCUCACCUAUACAGAAGGUCCUCGACAACGUUUGGCUCCUGGUUUUCAGCUUCAUCCUGGUGAAUUGAAUAGCUUUACUGAAGACCUUCCUGGAAAGGUAUGGGAUGUCCACCAUUCAGAGUGCAUGACUGGGAGAAAAGGAGUGGAUAGCACCCGUGGCACCGCCAGCAACGAAUCUGCUCGCAUCCUGACACCACCUUUCUCAGCCCAUCUUGUCAUUGCUGGAGAGGCAGCCAAGGGAUGCUGUGAUAGAUGUGCAGCGGAAACCAUGCUCUUUGGUUGCGCUCUGGACACGAGGCUGAUGGAUGGGCAGAAAACCCACCCGCCUUGCCGACAUCCAACCGGAGGAAAUGGGCCACACACCCAAAUGAAAAGAGGACCAGAUCGAUGGUGCAAGGCCGUUGAUCGAUUCCGAGAUUUCCCAAGGUAUCUAUAUAUAUAAUAAAAGUGAAAUCGGAGUAUGUAUCAGCGUUUGGAUUGGCCUGGCGGAAUAUGUGCUCGCGUUUUGAUUGGCCGCCACUAUCCCAGGCCACUGAGACCAACAGGAAUGACGGAUCUGCACCAAACUUGGCACACUUCAUCCCCACGAUGCACUUUAUGACCUGCUGCCAUUUGGGGGAGGAUGGACCACAGAUGAUGGGAUUUGCAGUACUUUCAAACACUUUAACUCCCACAGACUACUGCCA